AGAGUUUGAUCAUGGCUCAGGAUGAACGUUGGCGGCGUGCCUAAUACAUGCAAGUCGAACGGUAGUUGAGCAUUCGUGCUUGAUGAGAGUGGCGAACGGGUGAGUAACACGUAACUGAUCUGCCCUUUAGACUGGGAUAACCUUUGGAAACAGAGGCUAAUACCGGAUGAGUUCGCGGUAGUUAGAGAGCCGUGAGGAAAGGCUAAUGCGCUAAGGGAUGAGGUUGCGGGCCAUCAGCUAGUUGGUGAGGUAAAGGCUCACCAAGGCGAUGACGGUUAGGGGAUCUGAGAGGGUGGCCCCCCACACUGGGACUGAGACACGGCCCAGACUCCUACGGGAGGCAGCAGUAAGGGAUAUUGCACAAUGGACGGAAGUCUGAUGCAGCGACGCCGCGUGGGUGAAGAAGGUUUUCGGAUCGUAAAGCCCUUUUCUAUGUGACGAGAGAGGACGGUAGCAUAGGAAUAAGUGUCGGCUAACUACGUGCCAGCAGCCGCGGUAAAACGUAGGACGCGAACGUUAUCCGGAGUUACUGGGCGUAAAGCGCGCGUAGGCGGUUGGUUAAGUUACCUAUGAAAGAUACAGGCUAAACUUGUAUUGGUUAGGUGAAACUGGCU
rnacentral:rRNA from 1 species